CCUACGGGAGGCAGCAGUAGGGAAUCUUCCACAAUGGGCGAAAGCCUGAUGGAGCAACGCCGCGUGGGUGAAGAAGGUCUUCGGAUCGUAAAACCCUGUUGUUAGAGAAGAAAGUGCGUGAGAGUAACUGUUCACGUUUCGACGGUAUCUAACCAGAAAGCCACGGCUAACUACGUGCCAGCAGCCGCGGUAAUACGUAGGUGGCAAGCGUUAUCCGGAUUUAUUGGGCGUAAAGGGAACGCAGGCGGUCUGUUAAGUCUGAUGUGAAAGGCCUCGGCUUAACCGGGGUAGUGCAUUGGAAACUGGGAGACUUGAGUGCAGAAGAGGAGAGUGGAACUCCAUGUGUAGCGGUGAAAUGCGUAGAUAUAUGGAAGAACACCAGUGGCGAAAGCGGCUCUCUGGUCUGUAACUGACGCUGAGGUUCGAAAGCGUGGGUAGCAAACAGGAUUAGAUACCCCGGUAGUC
rnacentral:rRNA from 1 species